AAAUGGAAAAUGCACAAAUUCAAAGAAUCCGACUUCUGCUCAGGCAAGCGAGCUAAAAAGUACUUCUCGCCAUGGGAGGUGAUAUCCACCGUGGUCAUGUAUACCUGUUUCGCCGUUCUGCGUAUCAUACCUCUAUUAUGCUACCUCGCUAUGGGACUAUUCUGUAUCGCCUGCCAGACCGGCUGGUGUUUUCUAGUCUGUGGAUAGAUCGGAUUUAAAAAAAAAGAAAUGGAACAGUGUCUUAAAAUCAAAGAUGAA